GAUGAACGCUGGCGGCGUGCCUAAUACAUGCAAGUCGAGCGAACGGACGAGAAGCUUGCUUCUCUGAUGUUAGCGGCGGACGGGUGAGUAACACGUGGAUAACCUACCUCUAAGACUGGGAUAACUUCGGGAAACCGGUGCUAAUACCGGAUGAUAUUUUGAACCGCAUGGUUCAAAAGUGAAAGACGGUCUUGCUGUCACUUAUAGAUGGAUCCGGGUUGCAUUAGCUAGUUGGUAAGGUAACGGCUUACCAAGGCAACGAUGCAUAGCCGACCUGAGAGGGUGAUCGGCCACACUGGAACUGAGACACGGUCCAGACUCCUACGGGAGGCAGCAGUGGGGAAUCUUCGGCAAAGGGCGAAAGCCUGACGGAGCAACGCCGCGUGAGUGAUGAAGGUCUUCGGAUCGUAAAACCCUGUUAUUAGGGAAGAACAUAUGUGUAAGUAACUGUGCACAUCUUGACGGUACCUAAUCAGAAAGCCACGGCUAACUACGUG
rnacentral:rRNA from 1 species